rfam:Gossypium raimondii Chr11_contig_46, whole genome shotgun sequence.
GGCCUAUUAGCUUAGUCGGUUAGAGUAUCGUGCUAAUAAUGUGAAGGUCGUAGGCUUGAGACCUGCAUGGGCCA